GACAGAGGGUGCAAACGUUGUUCGGAAUUACUGGGCGUAAAGCGCGUGUAGGCAGUUUCGCAAGUCGGGUGUGAAAGCCCUGGGCUCAACCUAGGAAGUGCACUCGAAACUGCGAGACUUGAGUCCUGGAGAGGAAGGCGGAAUUCUCGGUGUAGAGGUGAAAUUCGUAGAUAUCGAGAGGAACACCGGUGGCGAAGGCGGCCUUCUGGACAGUGACGUGACGCUGAGACGCGAAAGCGUGGGGAGCAAACAGGG
rnacentral:rRNA from 1 species